UAAGUCACCUUAAAUCCUUUCUUGGGAGCAGGUCAUAUAGGAAUUAAUGAAGUGAUUUAUUUUGAAGCAGAGGCAUAUUCCAUUGAAUCUCUUAAUUACAGCAGACCAAAAGCAACUCUCUCUUGGUCUGUACUUUUGGAAGUGUGUCUGUACUGUCAAUACUCAAGAGAUUUUGCAAUACUCCUUGAAAAAAAGUUUAAUAAAAGCAUCCCAGGUUAAAAAAAAAAAAAGGCAUCCUAGGUUCAGAACUUUGGAAAGCUUUCACGUUUUUUUUUUCUUUUCCUCACCUUAUUUCUCCAUAUGAUUUACACAGUCCUAAUAAUAAUUAGGACUAAUAUAAUAAUAAUAAUAAUUGUUAUCAAGUAUCAUGCCAGCUACCCGGAUGGUAAACUUUUAAUCAGACACGAAUAUGUUUAUGUAUGUGUGUGUGUGUAUCUAAUCACAGUUCUCCAAGGGCUUAAUAAAUAAGUGUUUAUCCCUUUUUUGGUCUUUUUGUUUCUUGACCAUGUUCUUUCCCCUCUGCCUACUGCUGUUUUCCAGUAAGCUAUUUAUAUCUUAACAUAUACCUUCAUGAAAAAAAUUAUGUAUUCAGGUAACUGAAGAUGGUUUGUAAAGACAGAAGGAGUUCAUGAUGGCGGUGUAUGUGGAUGGUAGUAGACAGUAAGGAUACAAGGAGUGGGUUGGUUGGUUUGUGGCAUCAUGCAGACAGGCGUGUAUACUUAAAAAAUCUGUUAGAGAGGAGAGGAGGAUACAGCCUGCAAUUUCAGCCUCCUGUUUUGAUCCUGAGGCUCUAAAAAAGAAUGUUGAUGAAUAAAACAUUUUAAUCAGAACCAUAUCAACACUGAUCAAUUUUUUUCCCCUGUGGGGGUCCAGUACAGGGUGAAUUCCAUUAAGUCAAUGAAACACCUCCAUUGAGUUUUUAAACAGUACAAAGAUAGUUCAGCAGUUGCUCUAAAACUUUUUUUUUUUAACUGAAAUCCUUUUCACCAGGACCUGUUUUGUUUCAUAUAUAUUUGUAAUGUUCAUUGAAACCAGAAAACUAUGUUACUCACUUGAUAAAAGACCAAUAGUCACGUCUUAGCUAGUACCUAAGAAAUUCUCCAGCAAA
rnacentral:lncRNA from 1 species